rnacentral:rRNA from 1 species
ACGACUACAUAUCAGGCAUAUCAAUAAGCGGAGGAAAAGAAACUAACAAGGAUUCCCUUAGUAACGGCGAGUGAAGCGGGAAGAGCUCAAAUUAUUUGAAAUCUUCAAGGUUUUACCUUGAUGAAUUGUAGUUUAAAGAAGUGUUUUCUGUUGAAGUUUUGGUAAAAGUUCUUUGGAAUAGGACAUCAUAGAGGGUGAGAAUCCCGUAUUUGACCAUUAUUUUCAGCUGUGUGAUACACUUUCAAAGAGUCGGAUUGUUUGGGAAUGCAGUCCAAAAUGGGUGGUAAAUUUCAUCUAAAGCUAAAUAUUGGCGAGAGACCGAUAGCGAACAAGUACCGUGAGGGAAAGAUGAAAAGAACUUUGAAAAGAGAGUUAAACAGUACGUGAAAUUGUCAAAAGGGAAGCGUUUGACACCAGUGUUGUUUUCUCGAAAAUCAAUUAAAAAGAGCCUGGAUUUUGUGUUGUAUUGACUUUAUCAGCUUUCUGCACUCUUUUCUUGUCUUUUUUAAUGCACUUUUCGUUUAACAAGUCAACAUCAAUUUCUUUUGUUGUAUAAAGGGUCAUUGGAAGGUGGCUUUCUUUUCGGAGAAAGUGUUUAUAGCCUUUGGCCUCUGCAAUCGGAGAGAUUGAGGUCUGCAGCGUAGAUCCUUCGGGGUUAGAUACAUUUGUGCUAAGUUAUAGCCUUUCAUAGACAACUUGUUGACUAUGAUCAGUCAUGUAGCUUACUCGCUUAUGCUAUUUUACCUACGCUUAGGAUGUUGAGCGCAUGUCUCUCUCU